CAUUGUAGAAUGGUGGUGUUAUUGCUCCUGCAAGACCACUGGCAUCUUAACCUCUGGGUUUUGGACAGAAACAUGAUGCUAUUGUAGAUAUACCUCUGGAUACAAUGGAUGAUUCCAAGAAAAGAUAAAAGGAGCUUGCUGCUUGGGAGGCUGAUCUUAAGAGGAGGGAAAAGGAUAUAAAACGAAGGGAAGAUGUUGUUUCCCAAUCUGGUGUUUCCACAGAUGAUAAAAAUUGGCCGCCAAUUUUCCCAAUUAUAUAUCAUGAUAUAGCUAAUGAGAUACUGGUUCAUGCUCAGAGGCUGCAAUAUAUUGCAUUCGCAAGUUGGC